rnacentral:lncRNA from 1 species
AUGUUUACCGUCGCUGGGUUCCUGGAUGUUGCGUGAACUGGACUUUGCAUUCUAAUCUGGAUUUGUCCAGCUAUAGUUUGAAACCGAUCAAUGGACAUAAUUAACCAUGGUAUUGUUGGGCUAAAUAGAGCCCAUUAAAAGAGCUCGUUUUAAAGGAAUGAUAUAUGUAGUUGUUUUUUAAUUAUAUUCAAAUUAUUUCAUUCCAUCCAUUCCUUUUUUUUUUAAUCAUGAAUGAUUUUUAACGUGAUUCUUUUUUUUUCAUUCAUUCCACAGGAAUGUGUAGAAUCAAAAUUUUGUUUUUUUCACUUAACUGGUAAAUUUUUUUUCGAAUACCCAUGAAUGACUA